GAUGAACGCUGGCGGCGUGCCUAAUACAUGCAAGUAGAACGCUGAAGGAAGGAGCUUGCUCUUUCCGGAUGAGUUGCGAACGGGUGAGUAACGCGUAGGUAACCUGCCUGGUAGCGGGGGAUAACUAUUGGAAACGAUAGCUAAUACCGCAUAACAGUAGAUGUUGCAUGACAACUAUUUGAAAGGGGCAAUUGCUCCACUACCAGAUGGACCUGCGUUGUAUUAGCUAGUUGGUGAGGUAACGGCUCACCAAGGCGACGAUACAUAGCCGACCUGAGAGGGUGAUCGGCCACACUGGGACUGAGACACGGCCCAGACUCCUACGGGAGGCAGCAGGAGGGAAUCUUCGGCAAUGGACGGAAGUCUGACCGAGCAACGCCGCGUGAGUGAAGAAGGUUUUCGGAUCGUAAAGCUCUGUUGUAAGAGAAGAACGAGUGUGAGAGUGGAAAGUUCACACUGUGACGGUAUCUUACCAGAAAGGGACGGCUAACUACGUG
rnacentral:rRNA from 1 species